GCCACCCUGGCCGACGUGCGGGUGGCCGACGUCUCCUACACGUCCACCGACGGGGUCCGGAUCGGCGGCUGGCUGACCGUCCCCGCCGAGGGGCCC
rnacentral:tRNA from 1 species